rnacentral:rRNA from 1 species
AGAGUUUGAUCCUGGCUCAGAAUCAACGCUGGCGGCGUGCCUAACACAUGCAAGUCGAACGAGAAAGGGUAGCAAUACCUGAGUAAAGUGGCGCACGGGUGAGUAACACGUGACUAACCUACCCUGGAGUGGGGGAUAACUGAGGGAAACCUUAGCUAAUACCGCAUAAUACCUACGGGUCAAAGGAGCAAUUCGCUUUGGGAGGGGGUCGCGGCCGAUUAGUUAGUUGGCGGGGUAAUGGCCCACCAAGACAGUGAUCGGUAUCCGGCCUGAGAGGGCGCACGGACACACUGGAACUGAAACACGGUCCAGACUCCUACGGGAGGCAGCAGUGGGGAAUUUUGCGCAAUGGGGGAAACCCUGACGCAGCAACGCCGCGUGGAGGAUGAAGUACCUCGGUACGUAAACUCCUUUCGAUCGGGACGAUAAUGACGGUACCGGAAGAAGAAGCCCCGGCUAACUUCGUGCCAGCAGCCGCGGUAAUACGAGGGGGGCAAGCGUUGUUCGGAAUUAUUGGGCGUAAAGGGUGCGUAGGCGGUUUGGUAAGUCUUGUGUGAAAUCUCCGGGCUCAACUCGGAGUCUGCACAGGAAACUGCCGGGCUUGAGUAUGGGAGAGGUGAGUGGAAUUUCCGGUGUAGCGGUGAAAUGCGUAGAUAUCGGAAGGAACACCUGUGGCGAAAGCGGCUCACUGGACCAUAACUGACGCUGAUGCACGAAAGCUAGGGGAGCAAACAGGAUUAGAUACCCUGGUAGUCCUAGCCCUAAACGAUGACUGCUUGGUGUGACGGGUACCCAAUCCCGCCGUGCCGUAGCUAACGCGUUAAGCAGUCCGCCUGGGGAGUACGGUCGCAAGGCUGAAACUUAAAGGAAUUGACGG